rnacentral:rRNA from 1 species
UACGUAGGUGGCAAGCGUUGUCCGGAUUUACUGGGCGUAAAGCGUGCGCAGGCGGCGCGUUAAGACAGGUGUGAAAGCCCCCGAGCUUAACUUGGGAAUUGCGCUUGUGACUGGCGGGGCUGGAGUGUGGCAGAGGGAGGUGGAAUUCCACGUGUAGCAGUGAAAUGCGUAGAGAUGUGGAGGAACACCGAUGGCGAAGGCAGCCUCCUGGGCCAGCACUGACGCUCAUGCACGAAAGCGUGGGGGAGCAAACAGG